CAAUAGAACCCAAGGGUGUAUGGUGGAUGCCUUGACACUAAGAGGCGAUGAAGGACGUGGCGUAGCUGCGAUAAGCGAGGGGGAGGCGUGUAGCAACCUUUGAUCCCUCGAUUUCCGAAUGAGGCAACUCACACAGUUUGAAGACUGUGUACUCUACGAUGUAGAGAGCGAACCCGGGGAAGUGAAACAUCUCAGUACUCGGAGGAAAAAAGAACAAUAGUUAUUCCCGAAGUAGCGGCGAGCGAAAGGGGAAGAGCCCAAACCUGUAUGCGCCACAGGUAAUCUUCGUAAGAGGAUUUCCUGUGGCAUGUAUAGGGGUUGUAGGGUAGAGACUGGCGUAAGCCGGAAAGUUACAAAUUGUACGUAUAGAAGAAUUUGCUGGAAAGCAAAGCCCCAGAGGGUGAUAGCCCCGUAGUCGAAAUGCGAACAACUUUUUUGUCUCUAUACCUGAGUACUCCAAGACACGAAUAGCUUGGAGGAAGCUAGCGGAACUAACCGUUAAGGCUAAAUACUACUUAGUGAUCGAUAGUGAACUAGUACCGUGAGGGAAAGGUGAAAAAUAGUCCGGGAGGACGUUGAAAUAGAUCUGAAACCAUACAUCUACAAGGAGUCAGCGAGGUCAGCAUAUUGCGCGAGAACAUAUCUCGUCGUGUCACGUUUGUGAUACUUCGAGCUUUCGUACGUAAUAUGCUGACCUCCAUGGCGUGCCUAUUGAAGAAUGAGCCAACGAGUUAAUGCAUGCGGUUGCCUAAACCCAUCCGGGGUGGAGGCUUAGGGAAACCGAGUAUGAAUAGUGCGAAUAUAUCGUAUGCAUUAGACCCGAAACCUGGUGAGCUUGCCAUGAGCAGGGUGAAGUUUGUAGAAAUACAGAUGAAGGCCCGAACUGGUUAGUCGUGCGACUCUAUCGGAUGACUUGUGGCAAGGAGUGAAAAGCUAAUCGAACUGGGAAAUAGCUGGUUCUCUCCGAAAUAUGUUUUGGCAUAGCGUCUGAAGUACCCCUGGGGGGUAGAGCACUGGAUGGGCUGAAUAGGGAGAAAUCUCGUCAGCUCAACCAAACUCCGAAUACCCAGGAUUAACGUUUCAGGCAGUAAGACUCCGGGGGCGAAGCUCCGGUGGUCAAAAGGGAAACAGCCCAGAUCUCAAGUUAAGGUCCCUAAAUCUAUGCUCAGUGCAGUUUGAAGGUGGUGGGGUUUCUUCGACAGUGAGGAGGUUGGCUUAGAAGCAGCCAUCCUUUAAAGAAAGCGUAACAGCUCACUCACUAAGAGACCCUGCGCCGAAGAUAAUCGGGGCUAAGCAUAGUACCGAAACUGAGGACUUGUCGUUUUUUCGAAAACGGGGAGUGGUAGGAGAGCGUUCCAAUCCGCGUUGAAGCUCAAGCCGUGAGGCAGGGUGGAGCGUUUGGAAGUGCGUAUGUUGGCACAAGUAACCGCAAUGCAGGUGAGAAUCCUGCACGCCGAAAGACUAAGGUUUCCUUUGCGAUGAUAAUCAGCGAAGGGUUAGUCGGUCCUAAGGGGAUGGUGAUAACCGAACCCGAUGGAUACAUGGUUAAUAUUCCAUG
rnacentral:rRNA from 1 species